CGAUCAACUAAAGGUUGACAGCUUCGCUGUAAACAUUGUCCCAAUCGCUCACAGCGAGGCACCGCCGUGUGCAUUUCCAUUUGCACCACCGACCAGCCAUCCGCUCUAUCACCCAAACAGUGCUGCCACCUAUAGCCUGAUCUCGGAGCCAAUAUGUUAAGAAUGCUAACCAUGUGUUCAUUUUACCUGGCCCUGGGUUUUCUCUUCCUUGGUUUCCAGUGCUGCGUGCUUGGUUACAAAAAUCCACCUACACUAGAAGGGCCAUCCUGCUCAUCAGCUGGCUGCUACGGUGGCAAUCGGCCUGCCUGCUUCCAUAAUGCUACCUAUUGCACGUGCGCAUGUG
rnacentral:lncRNA from 1 species